rnacentral:rRNA from 1 species
GAUGAACGCUAGCGGGAGGCUUAACACAUGCAAGUCGAGGGGCAGCAUAGAGUAGCAAUACUUUGAUGGCGACCGGCGCACGGGUGAGUAACGCGUAUGUAACCUACCCUGUACAGGGGGAUAGCCCGGAGAAAUUCGGAUUAAUACCCCAUAAUGAUAACGAGAGGCAUCUUUUGAUAUUUAAAGCUUCGGCGGUACGGGAUGGGCAUGCGUGACAUUAGCUAGUUGGUAAGGUAACGGCUUACCAAGGCUGCGAUGUCUAGGGGUCCUGAGAGGGUGAUCCCCCACACUGGUACUGAGACACGGACCAGACUCCUACGGGAGGCAGCAGUGAGGAAUAUUGGUCAAUGGGCGUAAGCCUGAACCAGCCAUCCCGCGUGAAGGAAGAAGGCGCUAUGCGUCGUAAACUUCUUUUCCAGAGGAAUAAAAUUUUGUACGCGUACAUAACUGAAGGUACUCUGGGAAUAAGCAUCGGCUAACUCCGUGCCAGCCGCCGCCGUAAUAC